rnacentral:rRNA from 1 species
CCUACGGGAGGCUGCAGUGAGGAAUAUUGCACAAUGGGCGAAAGCCUGAUGCAGCAACGCCGCGUGAGCGAUGAAGGCCUUCGGGUCGUAAAGCUCUGUCCUCAAGGAAGAUAAUGAUGGUACUUGUGGCGGCAGCCCCGGCCAACUCCGUGCCAGCAGCCGCGGUAAUACGUAGGGGGCUAGCGCUAUCCGGAAUUACUGGGCGAAAAGGGUGCGUAGGUGGUUUCUAAAGUCAGAGGUGAAAGGCUACGGCUCAACCGUAGUAAGCCUUUGAAACUGGGGGACUUGAGUGCAGGAGAGGAGAGUAGAAUUCCUGGUGUAGCGGUGAAAUGCGUAGAUAUUAGGAGGAACACCGGUUGCGAAGGCGGCUCUCUGGACUGUAACUGACGCUGAGGCACGAAAGCGUGGGGAGCAAACAGGAUUAGAUACCCGUGUAGUC